rnacentral:rRNA from 1 species
UACGGAGGGGGCUAGCGUUGUUCGGAAUUACUGGGCGUAAAGCGCACGUAGGCGGCUUUGUAAGUUAGAGGUGAAAGCCCGGGGCUCAACUCCGGAAUUGCCUUUAAGACUGCAUCGCUAGAAUUGUGGAGAGGUAAGUGGAAUUCCGAGUGUAGAGGUGAAAUUCGUAGAUAUCUGGAGGAACACCGGUGGCGAAGGCGGCAUCCUGGACCGACAUUGACGCUGAGGCGCGAAAGCCAGGGGAGCAAACGGG